AUGAACGCUGGCGGCGUGCCUAAUACAUGCAAGUCGAGCGAACGGACGAGAAGCUUGCUUCUCUGAUGUUAGCGGCGGACGGGUGAGUAACACGUGGAUAACCUACCUAUAAGACUGGGAUAACUUCGGGAAACCGGAGCUAAUACCGGAUAAUAUUUUGAACCGCAUGGUUCAAAAGUGAAAGACGGUCUUGCUGUCACUUAUAGAUGGAUCCGCGCUGCAUUAGCUAGUUGGUAAGGUAACGGCUUACCAAGGCAACGAUGCAUAGCCGACCUGAGAGGGUGAUCGGCCACACUGGAACUGAGACACGGACCAGACUCCUACGGGAGGCAGCAGUAGGGAAUCUUCCGCAAUGGGCGAAAGCCUGACGGAGUAACGCCGCGUGAGUGAUGAAGGUCUUCGGAUCGUAAAACUCUGUUAUUAGGGAAGAACAUAUGUGUAAGUAACUGUGCACAUCUUGACGGUACCUAAUCAGAAAGCCACGGCUAACUACGUG
rnacentral:rRNA from 1 species